rnacentral:lncRNA from 1 species
UUUACCCUCUUUAAUAAUUAUUUGGUCAAGAAAACAAGUAACAACAAUAAUCUAUAAAAAUUAGUGCCCUUAAAUUACUGAGCAUUUUUCAGUAACACACUUAUCGUUACUAUUAAAAUGAUCAACAGGCAAGACAAAUGUUAUACAACAGAAUGGUCAGGAGGCCAUAAAAGGGGAACACAUUCUGGUGCUUCAAGAGGGAGAUCAGAUUUCAUACAUCAAUGAUUUAUUAACAACCACGAGUCCAGCGUCAAUGUAUAAAAAGUAUAUGAAAUAAUCAAGGGAAUAAAUGAAAUAAUAGCAUUUACUUAUAAAAAAUAAUCAUCAUUCUUCCCAGAACGCCGCCCUUGAUCUUCAAGAACUUGUUGCUUGCACUAUGAAUGUAGUAUGGAGGCAUAUCUCUUUUAGCUGACUCCAAAAAUUGUCAGUCUUGCAACCUCUUUGCACCUUAAAGAAUACUAGGAUUCAGUAGUGAAGAAAAGCCUCUUCAAAGCUAUCAUCAAUGUCUGCUAAUGUUAGACAAAAAAGUGCAUUAGAUAUUUAACUUCUGUCAAGGUGGUUUUCCAUUAUCUAAGUCCUCCAUAACAUCGAUAUCCUUGCGUGCUGUAAUCUUCUGCACAUAACCUGUAGUGACAAAGAUUUUGUGUUAAAAAAAAACAGAUUGCUCCACGAUCUCGAGGACAAGCUGAAACUUCUUUACUGAUAUAAAGUGAGUUUUUGGCCAAAUACACCCCUAAUGUAUACCACUUACUGAGACUACAUCUUUAAAGGAUCACUGUAAACAAAGAACAUCCUUCACAUUUUUGGAAAUGAGCAUGUUUCGUUCUGCCAUUACCCAUGGUAAUAAACCUAACAGAACCCUAAAAAGACACAGACAGGGCAGGUGACAUUCGAAAAUAAAAUUACAAGCUUUGCAACUCCAUUCCAGAUACACACUGAUCCUUAACUACAAACAGAAGACUUCAGAGAUGCUUGAAGUUGGAACUAACACUGCUAAACCACUUCGACCAUGCUUUCAACUGAUCCUUAUAACUAUUGAGUUGUAAUUGAGCAUGAUGAAGAUGAGGCUUCAAUAGAAUGAUCUUUCAAAUUGUACUAGAAUGUUACUGUUAAUUAAAAAGUCCGGCCAACUCAUCCAUUUCACAGCUACAGGCUACUGGCCAAGUUGAACAAUUAGGACAUGUUGCAGAAAUGCAACAUAAACACAGUAAUUAAAAAAUAACCAUGACCAUAUUAAAAUCCAUUUCACCAGUAUUAUUCACCAAAAAAGAUUCAGUCACACCAACAAAUUUAGAAGUUCUGUAACAACUUAUUCAACCACAUUCUAUUUUUUAAGAAAAUUAUCUGAAACUCCAGAAAUGCAGAAAGUGGUAAAACAUGCCAGAAAAUACAAAAACCACAAAAAUACUUUUGGAGUAUGUAGAGACCUAAGUCGAUAAGAAAUUAACCCUAAAUAGUUCUUCAUACCAUAUACUCCAAAUCAGCAAUAUUUUCUUUGUUACGAAAAUAGCAACUCUUUUCUCCUAAUUGACUGUGUCCCCAUAAUUUUUCUUUCCAAUCAACAAUGGUGAAGCAGGCUGAUGUUUUAAGAAAAUGUCACGUGUCAUAUACGGGAUUUUGUGGGGGUCCGUUAGUUUUGUAGCAGUAAAGUAAUGGAGGGAUGAAAACAGCUCACUUUAGAAUACAAGGAUGCUUUUUGUUCAUAAGUAUAUUUCAAGGAUGUAAUCCAAGUAGUGCGUAUACAAUAGGGAUGUUUUUGGUCAAAAACUCGAAAGAGUUCUCACUAUGAGAAUCUGUAGUUUCCCUGUCACUCUGAUUGCAAAUUAUAGAAGUCACUGGCCACUUCAGUGUUGCUCUUUCUCAAUUAUUUUCUUUCUGUCAUGUACUCUGUUUUAGUCCAUAAAGAGAACAUCUGAAGAUCUCAAGAGAACUGAGGCUCGUACCUUGUGGGGUAUUUUAUAACUGACAUCCAUCCUUUUACAGAGUUUAAACUCACAAAAACCAUGAGAGAGAAAUUGUAAUGAACCUUUUGUCUUCACUUUCAUCAAAGGGAUAUGAGUUCCAGUCUUCAAGAAAAUACAGAAGUGUCAAUUGUCUUCUUUUCAGUCAGCUAAUUGUAUCCAUUCUUUACUUUCUCGUUUAAGCUGGUACUAAAGCAGAAGAAGCAAAUAAAGGAAAAAAGAAGGUAAAAAUUCUUUAUUUAAUUUUUCUAGUGGUGUUGAAGAAAAUGCACUUGUUCUUGACAAAAUUUAUGUGUACAAAGAGACAAGUAUUGGUCAUGCCCUA